rnacentral:rRNA from 1 species
UACGUAGGGGGCAAGCGUUGUCCGGAUUUAUUGGGCGUAAAGAGCGUGUAGGCGGCCAGGUAGGUCCGUUGUGAAAACUCGAGGCUCAACCUCGAGACGCCGAUGGAAACCAUCUGGCUAGAGUCCGGAAGAGGAGAGUGGAAUUCCCGGUGUAGCGGUGAAAUGCGCAGAUAUCAGGAAGAACACCAAUGGCGAAGGCAGCUCUCUGGGACGGUACUGGACGCUGAGACGCGAAAGCGUGGGGAGCGAACAGG